AGUCUCCGAGUCCACGUGCCUCGAACCUUGGGCCCACAUGCAUUCUCUCAGGCGACCUUUUCGCCAAAGUGAUGCAUCAAGUCACCGAGCCCACGUGCCCUUUUAGAUGCCCGGGCCCACGUGCAUUCUCUCAGGUGCAUUUCACCAAAGCGAUGCAUCAAGUCGCCGAGCCCACGUGCCCUUUUAGAUGCCCGGGCCCACGUGCAUUCUCUCAG
rnacentral:lncRNA from 1 species